CCUACGGGUGGCACCAGUGAGGAAUUUUGCGCAAUGGGGGAAACCCUGACGCAGCAACGCCGCGUGAGUGAAGAAGGCCUUCGGGUCGUAAAACUCUGUCAAGUGGGAAGAACCCUUGCCGGAUUAACAGUCUGGCGAGCUGACGGUACCACUUAAGGAAGCACCGGCUAACUCCGUGCCAGCAGCCGCGGUAAUACGGAGGGUGCAAGCGUUAUUCGGAAUUACUGGGCGUAAAGGGCGCGCAGGCGGCUUGAUAAGUCAGUUGUGAAAGCCCGGGGCUCAACCCCGGAAGUGCAACUGAAACUGUCUGGCUUGAGUAUGGUAGAGGGAAGCGGAAUUCCUGGUGUAGCGGUGAAAUGCGUAGAUAUCAGGAGGAACACCGGUGGCGAAGGCGGCUUCCUGGACCAAUACUGACGCUGAGGCGCGAAGGCGUGGGUAGCAAACAGGAUUAGAUACCCUAGUAGUC
rnacentral:rRNA from 1 species